rnacentral:tRNA from 1 species
UCUCUUGUAGGUUAUUAUUUAGUAAACUAUCGAUUUGUGGUAUCGGGGAAUCUGUUUUUGACGGGGGAA